rnacentral:rRNA from 1 species
UCGAGAAUCUUUCGCAAUGGGCGCAAGCCUGAUCCAGCCAUGCCGCGUGUGUGAAGAAGGUCUUCGGAUUGUAAAGCACUUUAAGUUGGGAGGAAGGGCACUUACCUAAUACGUAUCUGUUUUGACGUUACCGACAGAAUAAGCACCGGCUAACUCUGUGCCAGCAGCCGCGGUAAUACAGAGGGUGCAAGCGUUAAUCGGAAUUACUGGGCGUAAAGCGCGCGUAGGUGGUUUGUUAAGUUGGAUGUGAAAUCCCCGGGCUCAACCUGGGAACUGCAUUCAAAACUGACAAGCUAGAGUAUGGUAGAGGGUGGUGGAAUUUCCUGUGUAGCGGUGAAAUGCGUAGAUAUAGGAAGGAACACCAGUGGCGAAGGCGACCACCUGGACUGAUACUGACACUGAGGUGCGAAAGCGUGGGGAGCAAACAGGAUUAGAUACCCCAGUAGUCCCUGAGCGGGCUGGCAAGGCGCAU